rnacentral:misc_RNA from 1 species
AUGUAGUACUAUAGAGUUCCAAACUAAUUUAGCCACCUCAAGUUUCUCUUGUUUGCCUAUCAGAGCAUUAUAUCCACUUGUUAUUGAAUACUUCCCGUUUGCUGUAAGGUUGAACUGCCCUUGCGUAUACCAGUAUUGCAUCAUAUUUUUCAGGGAGUUGAUUUUCCUCCAGUACCAACUACUAUCAACUGGUGUUUUGUGAGUCCAGA